rnacentral:rRNA from 1 species
UACGAAGGGGGCUAGCGUUGCUCGGAAUCACUGGGCGUAAAGCGCACGUAGGCGGCUUUCUAAGUCAGGUGUGAAAUCCUGGAGCUCAACUCCAGAACUGCCUUUGAUACUGGAAAGCUUGAGUUCGGGAGAGGUGAGUGGAACUGCGAGUGUAGAGGUGAAAUUCGUAGAUAUUCGCAAGAACACCAGUGGCGAAGGCGGCUCACUGGCCCGAUACUGACGCUGAGGUGCGAAAGCGUGGGGAGCAAACAGG